AGCUGGGGCCUGCGCGGCGGAACCCUUCGAACCUCGCCAGGUCCGGAAGGAAGCAACGAUAAGGAGUGGUUUCCGGGUGCCGCAGUGUUUUCUGGCUCUC
rnacentral:SRP_RNA from 1 species